GGGCCAUUAGCUCAUUUGGUAGAGCGCAUCGCUGGCAGCGAUGAGGCGACCGGUUCGAAUCCGGUAUGGUCCACAA
rnacentral:tRNA from 3 species